AUGGGUUCGGGGCGAUCUAAGUCUCCACCACCAGACUGCAGCAUUACAAAAUUAAUGAGACGUAAAUAUGGUGAUGAGUGCGUGUCAUGUCUUCACGACUGGACAAAACAUUAUGGGUUUCAAGAAGGUGGAUCACUCAGUGUGAAGGACAUACGCGCUUUAAAAGAAAAAUUAGAAGAAAAGGAGAAACAGCUCCGCAAAAGUAGAACGAUCAAAGUUAAAACCUUAGAAGAAAUUGAAUUAAACAACAGAUGCCUUGAGAUUUGGGUUAAAGAAUCAGAACGCAGGGAAAGAUUGAAAUGCCAAAAAGAACUAGGAGGGAGAAAGGACGAGAGUGGUGACGUAGCUGGCAGAAAAGAUAACAACUCUGUGGAAGCUUGCACACCGCCACCAUACACACAUACACACACACAACAUGAUGACAAACAAAGCGCUCCCACUGUUUCUGCUUUGUAUCCCUUUGCAGAGCUGAGCGCGGUCAAGGUGAAUCCCGACCUGGACUCCUUCUACGUCAGCAGGAAGGCCGGGCAGGGUGGACAGCAGGACCAACAGCAACAGCCUGACCAACAGCAACAGCCUGACCAACGACAACAGCCUGAGCAACGACAACAGCCUGCCCCACUGCAACAGCCUGGCCAACCUCUGUCAUCAGGAGCUGUAACAUCAGCUGCAGAGCAGUCAGAGCAUGUGAAGGACAGUGUAAAUGCCACACCAACUCCUGGAAUGGAUGCACAGGCGUUCUGGGCCAAUUCACCUGUCGGCUUCAUUCCUACAUCAUCCACUGCCACAAGCUGUGCCCAUGCACCAACUGCCACUACGAGUGCUGCCUCUGCAACUACCAGCGUUCGUACCCUGAGGAGCAACACACCAGUAGCUCCAGAAAUCAGCUUGCCCAUGGUGGAAGUGGCCGGCCCUGAAGGAAGCAUGCUAGUGCACAGACCAUGGACUAGCGCUGACAUAGCUGACUUUGCCCACACUCUUCCAGACAUCACUGUAUCAGGAAAGACAUUCGGUGCCAACCUUCUGGCUUUCUGCCAGGAGUACAGACCCACUGGAGCUGAGAUCCGUCGCAUCCUGGCCAAACCUUGUGAAUACCAAAAGCUGGCUAGACAAUUGCCUGAUGUGACACUUGCUCUCAAACACAAAGACUGGACAAACAACUUAAAUGAUGGAUUCGUUACCGCAGUGAGGACGCUUGUUGCCCACCUCGAAACUGCGUUCCCUGAUAAAGUCUGUAUGAUUAAAGUCACCACAUGCAAACAACAACCAGAGGAAUCAGUUGAUGACUUUGUUCACCGCCUCACCACUGCAUAA
rnacentral:lncRNA from 1 species